GGGGAUAUGGCGGAAUGGUCUACGCGGCAGACUUAAACCCUGUUUGUGCUCAACGCACUGUGCCCGUUCGAGUCGGGCUGUCCCUACCA
rnacentral:tRNA from 1 species